rnacentral:rRNA from 1 species
GCUCAGGACGAACGCUGGCGGCGCGCCUAACACAUGCAAGUCGAACGGAGCUGAGAGGAGCUUGCUUUUCUCAGCUUAGUGGCGAACGGGUGAGUAACGCGUGAGUAACCUGCCCUGGAGUGGGGGACAACAGUUGGAAACGACUGCUAAUACCGCAUAAGCCCACGGCCCGGCAUCGGGCUGAGGGAAAAGGAUUUAUUCGCUUCAGGAUGGACUCGCGUCCAAUUAGCUAGUUGGUGAGGUAACGGCCCACCAAGGCGACGAUUGGUAGCCGGACUGAGAGGUUGAACGGCCACAUUGGGACUGAGACACGGCCCAGACUCCUACGGGAGGCAGCAGUA